AAAAAUCGUAAUGGGGCCGAAUGGAAAAAAUGAGUGGCGCGUGCCCAGUUUGUUUGUGAAACUUGAAACGAGGGUUUAACAUUUGUUGCAUCAUUUUCGCACACACGUUCUCACUUUGCAGUUCAACCCAGCUAGCAUUCUCAACCGUUCUCCCGCUCAUUCCUCUGCAAGCAACAACGAGAGAAGAAGAGGAGCUCUAACACUCAAUGACUCAAGGUGCGUGAUCAGAAGAGGUUGAAUCAGCAAAGGAUAUGAAGAGGGUGAUCGGAGGGCUGAAGACGCGGCUUGUGAUCAAAGGAAGCAGAGACCGUCUGAUUGGAAAGCGCGAAGCGUCGAAGAGGAAGUAAAAGCCUGUACCAUUCAUUACUGUAACAGGCCCUAGUUUGGUGUGUAAAUUUCCAACACUUGCAAGUUCUGCCAUUGCUCUCAUCUCAUAGCCGAGUGGUGCUUCUGAGUGUGGCUGUGGCGCUGGUUGAAAUUGAAGUUGAAGGUAUGUUCUGCAAAACCAAAACCCACACUCUUUUCUACCAUAACAAUGCAAGAACUAUAUCAAGCCUCAAAGUAGUGUGGCGCAAGGACCCAACACUCGACCGAGCUAUAGAGUACGACAAGCGUUACAAGCAAUGUGCCCGCGUCGUCAAAGAAGUCCUCAACGAACCAGGCCAAGUCAUUCCUCUACGCUACCUCGAGAAGCGUCGUGAAAGGAUGCGACUCAAGGUCAAAGCUGAAACCUUUAUCAACCAAAACCCUGGUUUGUUUGAUGUCUACUACAGUCGCAUCAAACCCAAAACCGAACCGGUUCGCUUCAUACGCCCCUCCGACCGCCUUCACUGCUUUCUCCAGGAAGAGCAACAAAUUUUCUCCAAGAACGAACCCUUCGUUGUCUCCAAGUUGUGUAAACUGUUAAUGAUGUCCAAGAACAAGUUUAUCAGUGCUGAUAAGUUGCUUCACGUGAAGAGGGAGUUCGGGUUCCCCAACGAUUUUUUGGUUGAUUUGGUUCCUCGGUAUCCACAAUAUUUUAGGUUAACUGGGUCUCCUGGAGAGGGGAAAUCGUUUCUUGAAUUGGUUGAUUGGAACCCCGAGUUUGCAAAAUCUAUUAUUGAGAAAAGAGCCGAGGAGGAGAGUGAGCGAUUGGGGAUUAGGGUUAGGCCUAAUUUCAAUGUGGAGCUACCGCCAGGGUUUGUUUUGAAGAAGGAGAUGAGAGAGUGGGUUAGGGACUGGCUGGAGCUUGAUUAUGUGUCCCCUUACGAGGAUGUGUCCCAUUUGGACCAGGCUUCAAGAGAGAUGGAGAAGAGAUCCGUUGGAGUGUUCCAUGAAUUGAUUUCUCUUUCCUUGCAUAAGAGGAUUCCGGUUCCGAUCCUUGGAAAGUUUUGCGAUGACUAUAGGUUUUCCAAUGCGUUUUCCACCACUUUUACCCGGCAUUCGGGGAUAUUCUAUCUGUCCUUGAAAGGUGGGAUUGAGACGGCAGUGCUGAGAGAAGCAUACCGAGGUGAGGAGUUGGUUGACUGUGAUCCGUUGCUUCGAAUAAAAGAUAAAUUUGUUAAGUUGUUGGAGGAGGGAUGGCGGCAAAGAAAGGAGCAGUUGAUGUUAAAGCAAGAAAGGAUUAAGGACGAUAUGGAGCUAUUGGCCACGAAAGUUGGUGCAUGAAGGUGUAGACCAGCAUCGCAGAUUGUCUACCUUCAUCAUGGGUUUCAAUUCUGUCUAUAGAAGUUUGCAGGAGUUAUUUCCUCAGGUUGAUACCAAAAGUAACAAGGUAUUAGUAGUCCAGGAUUUCAUAUUUGGAUGUUAGGAAUACUAGCUUUAUAACAAUAUAGUCAAGUUUGCAGAAUUGAUCUGCUUGAGGAAAUCAUCAAUGAUGCCAAAAGUACCAAGAAAACCUUUUUGUCAUCAAUGGAAUCUCUUAUGACCUUGAUGAGGGAUGUGCAACUUCAGGAGCAAGCUGUAGAGGAGGCCAGCAUGGAUGCUGCUACUGGAGGGUCUAAUAUUCUGGCCAGGGUAGAAGGAUAUAAAAAAAGUGCUGGAACGAGCUAAAGAAGCAAAUGACAUCGUUGUUAAAAUUCAGUCUUUUGCAUUUAUUGUUUAGUAUGAGACGAGCAAAAAAUAUUUAUUGUCAACUUUCUUGCAGCAUGCGGGAGAAGUGUUUGGGGAAAAAGCAAUUCUGGUAACUGAACUGAAGGAACUUCAGUCACGCCUACUCAGCUUGUCUAAUGAAAGGGAUAAGUCUCUUGCAAUACUCAAUGAGUUCUUGAAGCAUGACUAGCUGCAGCUGAAGAAUUGAGGAAAGCAGCUGAGAAUGAAAAGUUGGAAAAGGCGGAAUCUGCACAAAGGGCUCUUGCGGAAUAGGAAAAACUGUUGGAGAAGGUGGUACUACAUGAAUUAGAAAGACUAAAGCAGGAGACAAAAGAGAAUUCGAAGAGGAGAAAUUUCAGUUAUUUGUCAGGAUAUUAGGCUCCUAAAAGAGAGAUUUGAUGCAAAUCUUCCAUUGAGUGAAUCUUUCACCUCAAGUCAGACCAGUUGCAAGUUAGCUUCAUCAGGUACGUCCCACAAAACCGUGGCAUCUGAUGUAGAUUCUGUGCAUGGUGAUUCAUCUGAAAGAAGUAAGAUAAGUGAAAGCCUUUCUUCCAAAAGUGGACACGACGAGGAAAAAUCAAAAGCUUCUCAAAAUGCUCUUCUUGAUGAUGGGUGGGACAUUUUUGAGAAAGAUGCAGAGCUGAAUUCUGGAGUUUACUGAGGGGGAAAACAACUACUUCCUGCUAUUGUUUAUACAACAAAAUAAACCUUAGAAUCCUUGGAUGCCACUCGUUAGUUGUGAUCUGGAUAUUUUUGCUAUAUAGUACUCGAGGUUCUACUUGGUCGAGUGACAGAGGGUUUUCCUGUGGACAUUGACUUGAGUAAAGGAGGGUAUAUCAAUUCAAUAUCUCGACGUUAGGGAAAUUGUAUGUCUUUGGAGCUGGAGACAAAGGACAACUAGGCAUAGAGCUUGGUGUCAACCAAACUACACCAAACUAAAAGAGGAUAGUGAAAGAGUUAUAAGAAAAGAAGAGAGAAUAUUUGAAGAAUUGGUGCAUUUGUUUUGGACACUUAAGCAAUGUUUGAUGUCCAAUAAUUAGGAGCUAUUGGCCAAGUUGACAGUUUUAGCAAUUGUUUUUGAACAUCUUUUUAUUUUUUUAAAAAAUUUGUAUUGUUGAAUA